CGCCUCCUGUCCUGCACCUCUGGCUCGGCGCAGUCAGACUAACAGCACAGACCUGCCCAGCUGACACCCGGCAGCCUCUGGGAGUUGACAAAUGGAAAAAGGCCUGAAGAUGAAUGAAGCACAAUUACCCGAGCCCGAGGUACGGGUGAUGCCAGGGGACCCUGCCGAAGACCCACCCGCCGGUGCCCCGGGGCAGAAGAGGGAGAGGGAGAAGAGACACCCGUUGGCCCGUGCGGCGCUGCGUUGGCAUUACAGACACAACGCAAUGGUGCACUGACUUUGUAGGAGGCCGAGUGGACAUGUGGCCCACAGAGAAAAAGGUAAAACAUGGGAGUGCAGGUCUUGAAACAGGUUUGGAAACCUGUUCUCCGCUGUCAAAGAAGAUAUCGGAUUACACUACAGUCAAGUCGUCAGCCGCAAAAGCGACGUCUCAGCUUUACUUUUAUUGCUACACAUGUUUUCAUUGUUGUUUCUGACAUAUCAACAUCUGUUCCAAAUGCUCGUUGGGAUACAUGGGAGACUUGGCUUU
ensembl:lncRNA